rnacentral:SRP_RNA from 2 species
UGGCAAGUCCUACACAACUAGCUCCUGUUUAAUCCUCCAGAGUGGGAACACAGCAAAGGUAUACGGUUGUAGCAGUGUGAUGUAGGUAGCUUGCCUUUU